CCUACGGGGGGCAGCAGUGAGGAAUAUUGGUCAAUGGGCGCGAGCCUGAACCAGCCAAGUCGCGUGAGGGAAGACGGUCCUAUGGAUUGUAAACCUCUUUUGUCGGGGAGCAAAAGACGCCACGCGUGGCGUUCCGAGAGUACCCGACGAAAAAGCAUCGGCUAACUCCGUGCCCGCAGCCGCGUUAAUACGGGGGAUGCGCGCGUUAUCCGGAUUGAUUGGGUUUAAAGGGUGCGCAGGCGGAAGAUGAAGUCAGCGGUAAAAGUGAGAGGCUCAACCUCUUCGAGCCGUUGAAACUGGUUGUCUUGAGUGAGUGAGAAGGAUGCGGAAUGCGUGGUGUAGCGGUGAAAUGCAUAGAUAUCACGCAGAACUCCGAUUGCGAAGGCAGCAUACCGGCGCUCAACUGACGCUCAUGCACGAAAGUGUGGGUAUCGAACAGGAUUAGAUACCCCUGUAGUC
rnacentral:rRNA from 1 species